rnacentral:rRNA from 1 species
UUUCGAAUCAUUCACAAUGGGCGAAAGCCUGAUGGUGCGACGCCGCGUGAGGGAUGAAGGUCUUCGGAUUGUAAACCUCUGUCACCGGGGAAGAAACGCUUUGAGCUAAUAGUUCAAAGCCUGACUUAACCCGGAGAGGAAGCAGUGGCUAACUCUGUGCCAGCAGCCGCGGUAAUACAGAGACUGCGAGCGUUAUUCGGAUUCACUGGGCGUAAAGGGUGCGCAGGCGGCCAAGUGUGUGAGGCGUGAAAGCCCGGGGCUUAACCCCGGAAUUGCACCUCAAACUACAUGGCUAGAGCAUUGGAGAGGGUAGCAGAAUUCACGGUGUAGCAGUGAAAUGCGUAGAUAUCGUGAGGAAUACCAGAGGCGAAGGCGGCUACCUGGACAA